CUUAUGCAGGAGGUGUGGAAAUCUGUGGCUUGGUGUACUACACAGUGAUUUGAAAUUUGCAUCUGUUAUGAAAUGAUCACCACAAAGGGAGCUCUGGUGGAAAGAUUG